rnacentral:misc_RNA from 1 species
CCUCCUUUCUAAGGAUGAAUAAAAGUAAAAUUUUAUUCUAAAUAAUAUACAGGUUAAUGUUGACCGUCCUCAUUUCUCUUCUUAAAGUAGUGUUUCCAUCUUGUAGCCGGUAGCUCAGUUGGUUAGAGCACACCCUUGAUAAGGGUGGGGUCGAAAGUUCGAGUCUUUCUCGGCCCACCAAAUUUAACUGGGGGAUUAGCUCAGCUGGGAGAGCGCCUGAUUUGCAUUCAGGAGGCCAGCGGUUCGAUCCCGCUAUCCUCCACCAGGAAACAUUUAGCUAUUUUUUUUGUGAAUACUUAAUAAUUUAUAUCAAUAUCUAUAUCCGAACAUUAAUUUGUUUAUUAAUGUUCAAAUAAAAAAUUUGAUUCAACACAGAAUUUUUUUCUGUGCAUAAAUCAAGCGUUUAAGGGCGUGUGGCGGAUGCCUUGGCACUGAAAGCCGACGAAGGACGUGGUAUACUGCGAUAAGUUACGGGGAGCUGUAUGCAAGUUUUGAUCCGUANAUUUCCGAAUGGGG